rnacentral:rRNA from 1 species
UUACCUGCGGAGGGAUCAUUACCGAGUUUACAACUCCCAAACCCCUGUGAACAUACCAAUUGUUGCCUCGGCGGAUCAGCCCGCUCCCGGUAAAACGGGACGGCCCGCCAGAGGACCCCUAAACUCUGUUUCUAUAUGUAACUUCUGAGUAAAACCAUAAAUAAAUCAAAACUUUCAACAACGGAUCUCUUGGUUCUGGCAUCGAUGAAGAACGCAGCAAAAUGCGAUAAGUAAUGUGAAUUGCAGAAUUCAGUGAAUCAUCGAAUCUUUGAACGCACAUUGCGCCCGCCAGUAUUCUGGCGGGCAUGCCUGUUCGAGCGUCAUUUCAACCCUCAAGCCCCCGGGUUUGGUGUUGGGGAUCGGCGAGCCCUUGCGGCAAGCCGGCCCCGAAAUCUAGUGGCGGUCUCGCUGCAGCUUCCAUUGCGUAGUAGUAAAACCCUCGCAACUGGUACGCGGCGCGGCCAAGCCGUUAAACCCCCAACUUCUGAAUGUUGACCUCGGAUCAGGUAGGAAUACCCGCUGAACUUAAGCAUAUCAAUAAGCGGAGGAAUU